AACGUAGGAGGCGAGCGUUAUCCGGAGUUACUGGGCGUAAAGCGCGCGCAGGCGGUUGUGUAAGUGGGCUGUGAAAGCUCCCGGCUAAACUGGGAGAGUGCGGCUCAGACUGCAUGACUAGAGUGAGGUAGAGGAGCGUGGAAUUCGGGGAGUAGCGGUGAAAUGUGUAGAGAUCCCGAGGAACACCAGAGGGGAAACCGGCGCUCUGGGCCUUAACUGACGCUGAGGCGCGAAAGCUUGGGGAGCGAACGGG
rnacentral:rRNA from 1 species